rnacentral:rRNA from 1 species
AUGCUACCUCCCGAUCUGCAAGUGCUCCAGUUUUUCCGGGCCUCCACGUCGUGGACCGUGGGCGAUGGCACCUCCUGCAGAUUUUGGGUCGACCCGUGGCUGGAGGGCAGCUCCAUCUCUUCCCUUGCCCCUGCGCUGACGGCCCUUGUCCCAGCACGGAGGCGGCGUACACGCACAGUGGCCGUGGCUCUCCUAAACCUCACUUGGAUCGCGGACAUCCAAGGAUCGCUAGGGCCGGCCGGCGUUCUUGAGUACGUGGACAUCUGGCGUCGACUGCAUCACGUCGCGCUCUCCUCGCAGUCAGACACCAUCCAUUGGCGCUGGACUGCGAAUGGCAUUUACUCGGCCUUGUUUGAGGGGUGA